CCUACGGGAGGCAGCAGUGAGGAAUAUUGGUCAAUGGGCGAGAGCCUGAACCAGCCAAGUCGCGUGAGGGAGUACUGCCCUAUGGGUUGUAAACCUCUUUUGUCGGGGAGCAAAAGCCGGACGUGUCCGGCUGUGAGAGUACCCCAAGAAAAAGCAUCGGCUAACUCCGUUCCAGCAGCCGCGGUAAUACGGAGGAUGCGAGCGUUAUCCGGAUUUAUUGGGUUUAAAGGGUGCGCAGGCGGAUUUUUAAGUCAGCGGUAAAAUCGUGGGGCUCAACCCCAUCCAGCCGUUGAAACUGGGGAUCUAGAGUGUGCGAGAGGUAUGCGGAAUGCGUGGUGUAGCGGUGAAAUGCAUAGAUAUCACGCAGAACCCCGAUUGCGAAGGCAGCAUACCGGUGCACAACUGACGCUCAGGCACGAAAGCGUGGGUAUCGAACAGGAUUAGAUACCCUAGUAGUC
rnacentral:rRNA from 1 species